rnacentral:rRNA from 1 species
UACGGAGGGGGCUAGCGUUGUUCGGAAUUACUGGGCGGAAAGCGCACGUAGGCGGCUUUGUAAGUUAGAGGUGAAAGCCCGGGGCUCAACCCCGGAAUUGCCUUUAAGACUGCAUCGCUUGAAUUGUGGAGAGGUAAGUGGAAUUCCGAGUGUAGAGGUGAAAUUCGUAGAUAUUCGGAAGAACACCAGUGGCGAAGGCGACUUACUGGACACAUAUUGACGCUGAGGUGCGAAAGCGUGGGGAGCGAUCCGG